GAAGAUAUUUUGAAGGGCCGCAGUAUUUUGACUGUGCAAAGGUAGCAUAAUCAUUAGUCUUUUAAUUGAAGGCUGGUAUGAAUGGUUGGAUGAGGUAAAUUCUGUUUUAUGUUAAUUGGUGUUGAAUUUAGAUUUUAAGUAAAAAUACUUAAAUGUUAUUAAGGGACGAGAAGACCCUAUAGAGUUUAAUAAAUGUAGUAAAUAAUUGAGUUAAAUCUUAAUUUUUGGUUUUUAUGUAAUUUAUUUAAUUGGGGUGAUUGGAAAGAUAAAAUAAACUCUUCUUUGUAUUUAAUAAAUUAAUUAGUUUUAUGAUCCAUAUUUAAUGAUUAAAAGAUUAAAUUACCUUAGGGAUAACAGCAUAAUUCUUUUUAAGAGUUCAUAUCGAAAAAAGAGAUUGUGACCUCGAUGUUGGAUUAAGAUUAGUUAUGGGUGCAGAUGUUCAAUAACUAGGUCUGUUCGACCUUGAAAAUCUUACAUGAUCUGAGUUCAAACCGGAGA
rnacentral:rRNA from 1 species